CACGUAGGGGGCAAGCGUUGUCCGGAUUUAUUGGGCGUAAAGAGCUCGUAGGCGGUUCGGCAAGUCGGGUGUGAAACCCCCAGGCUCAACCUGGGGACGCCACCCGAUACUGCUGUGACUGGAGUCCGGUAGGGGAGCGUGGAAUUCCUGGUGUAGCGGUGAAAUGCGCAGAUAUCAGGAGGAACACCAGCGGCGAAGGCGGCGCUCUGGGCCGGUACUGACGCUGAGAAGCGAAAGCAUGGGGAGCGAACAGG
rnacentral:rRNA from 1 species